rnacentral:rRNA from 1 species
AGGGUUUGAUUAUGGCUCAGGACGAACGCUGGCGGCGUGCCUAACACAUGCAAGUCGAACGGAGUUUAGCGACAGAAUCUUUCGGGAGGAAGUUGCGAAGACUUAGUGGCGGACGGGUGAGUAACGCGUGAGCAACCUACCUUUCAGAGGGGGAUAACACAGGGAAACCUGUGCUAAUACCGCAUAAAGCAUAGAUAGCGCAUGAUAUUUAUGCCAAAGUGAUAGCGCUGAGAGAUGGGCUCGCGUCUGAUUAGAUAGUUGGUGAGGGUAACGGCCCACCAAGUCGACGAUCAGUAGCCGGACUGAGAGGUUGAACGGCCACAUUGGGACUGAGACACGGCCCAG